rnacentral:sRNA from 1 species
AAAUGGCGUUAAGGAUAGCAGCGUAAAUCCUUUUUAAGGUUUAGGAAUGCACCACGUGCUAUUCAAAAAGCUUAAAAAGAUUGUAGCGAAUAGCCUGCCCGCAG